rnacentral:tRNA from 4 species
CGGAGCGUAGCGCAGCCUGGUAGCGCACCACAAUGGGGUUGUGGGGGUCGAGAGUUCGAAUCUCUCCGCUCCGACCA